rnacentral:rRNA from 1 species
GCGGAGGGAUCAUUACAAGUGACCCCGGUCUUACCACCGGGAUGUUCAUAACCCUUUGUUGUCCGACUCUGUUGCCUCCGGGGCGACCCUGCCUUCGGGCGGGGGCUCCGGGUGGACACUUCAAACUCUUGCGUAACUUUGCAGUCUGAGUAAACUUAAUUAAUAAAUUAAAACUUUUAACAACGGAUCUCUUGGUUCUGGCAUCGAUGAAGAACGCAGCGAAAUGCGAUAAGUAAUGUGAAUUGCAGAAUUCAGUGAAUCAUCGAAUCUUUGAACGCACAUUGCGCCCCCUGGUAUUCCGGGGGGCAUGCCUGUUCGAGCGUCAUUUCACCACUCAAGCCUCGCUUGGUAUUGGGCAACGCGGUCCGCCGCGUGCCUCAAAUCGACCGGCUGGGUCUUCUGUCCCCUAAGCGUUGUGGAAACUAUUCGCUAAAGGGUGUUCGGGAGGCUACGCCGUAAAACAACCCCAUUUCUAAGGUUGACCUCGGAUCAGGUAGGGAUACCCGCUGAACUUAAGCAUAUCAAUAAGCGGAGGAAAAGAAACCAACAGGGAUUGCUCUAGUAACGGCGAGUGAAGCAGCAUAGCUCAAAUUUGAAAUCUGGCGUCUUCGACGUCGAGUUGUAAUUUGUAGAGGAUGCUUCUGAGUA